rnacentral:lncRNA from 1 species
UAUCCUUCAAUGGCAAGUUUCUGUGUAAUUCAAUCUUUCAAUCAAACAGCAUCUCAGAUGAGCUGUGGGUAUAAAAAUAUAUCAAAUCCAAUCACUUAUCUUUAUAUAUCUUGAUCUGAAGGUAAUGAUUCAAUUGAUGAUAUAUUAAAAUUUUUUUUCUAGUUAUCACUCUGCUUUGGCCAAAGACUUCCAGAAUCACCAUCCUAUGAGAUCACAUAGGAUGUUCACUCCCUUUUUUAGGAGUGACUGAUCCCUUAUUGAUCACUCACGACCUCCAUGCACUCUUCAACAUAUCUAAAACACCCCACACA